rnacentral:lncRNA from 1 species
CCUUUUAGUUUUCUGUUAAUUUUAGUGAGUGGACACCACCCAAAUGUUUGAUAGCCCAAUGUUACUCAAGGUGGGGUCAGCUUGAGUAGUCAUAAGUGGGUUGCUUGGGAUGGUUGGUUCGAUUGGUUGGGUCUCGACGAAUAUAUAAUUAAUGGUGCACGAUAAAAUUAUGUUCGUGUUAUUAUAUAGAUAAGUGUGCACACGGUUGAA